UGGGGAAUCUUGCACAAUGGGGGAAACCCUGAUGCAGCGACGCCGCGUGAGCGAUGAAGGUUUUCGAAUCGUAAAGCUCUGUCCUAUGGGAAGAUAAUGACGGUACCAUAGGAGGAAGCCCCGGCUAACUACGUGCCAGCAGCCGCGGUAAUACGUAGGGGGCGAGCGUUGUCUGGAAUUACUGGGCGUAAAGGGUUCGCAGGCGGCAUGACAAGUCCGAUGUAAAAGGCGAAAGCUCAACUUUCGUAAGCAUCGGAAACUGUCAAGCUUGAGUGAAGGAGAGGCAAGUGGAAUUCCUAGUGUAGCGGUGGAAUGCGUAGAUAUUAGGAGGAAUACCGGUGGCGAAGGCGACUUGCUGGACUUCAACUGACGCUGAGGAACGAAAGCGUGGGUAGCAAACAGG
rnacentral:rRNA from 1 species